AUUGAACGCUGGCGGCAUGCUUUACACAUGCAAGUCGAACGGCAGCGCGGGGCAACCUGGCGGCGAGUGGCGAACUGGUGAGUAAUACAUCGGAACGUACCCAGAAGUGGGGGACAACGUAGCGAAAGUUACGCUAAUACCGCAUACGUUCUACGGAAGAAAGUGGGGGAUCUUCGGACCUCAUGCUUUUGGAGCGGCCGAUGUCUGAUUAGCUAGUUGGUGAGGUAAAGGCUCACCAAGGCGACGAUCAGUAGCUGGUCUGGAAGGACGACCAGCCACACUGGGACUGAGACACGGCCCAGACUCCUACGGGAGGCAGCAGUGGGGAAUUUUGGACAAUGGGCGCAAGCCUGAUCAAGCAAUGCCGCGUGAGUGAAGAAGGCCUUCGGGUUGUAAAGCUCUUUUGCCAGGGAAGAAACGGCUGGGGCUAAUAUCCCCGGCUAAUGACGGUACCUGAAGAAUAAGCACCGGCUAACUACGUGCCAGCAGCCGCCGUAA
rnacentral:rRNA from 1 species